AUGGAGAGUUUGAUUCUGGCUCAGAACGAACGCUGGCGGCGUGGAUAAGACAUGCAAGUCGAACGGGAGAAUUGCUAGCUUGCUAAUAAUUCUCUAGUGGCGCACGGGUGAGUAACACGUGAGUAACCUGCCUCUUAGUGGGGGAUAGCCCUGGGAAACCGGGAUUAAUACCGCAUACGAUUGAAAGAUCAAAGCAGCAAUGCGCUAGGAGAUGGGCUCGCGGCCUAUUAGUUAGUUGGUGAGGUAACGGCUCACCAAGGCGAUGACGGGUAGCCGGUCUGAGAGGAUGUCCGGCCACACUGGAACUGAGACACGGUCCAGACACCUACGGGUGGCAGCAGUCGAGAAUCAUUCACAAUGGGGGCAACCCUGAUGGUGCGACGCCGCGUGGGGGAAUGAAGGUCUUCGGAUUGUAAACCCCUGUCAUGUGGGAGCAAAUUAAAAAGAUAGUACCACAAGAGGAAGAGACGGCUAACUCUGUGCCAGCAGCCGCGGUAAUACAGAGGUCUCAAGCGUUGUUCGGAAUCACUGGGCGUAAAGCGUGCGUAGGCUGUUUCGUAAGUCGUGUGUGAAAGGCAGGGGCUCAACCCCUGGAUUGCACAUGAUACUGCGAGACUAGAGUAAUGGAGGGGGAACCGGAAUUCUCGGUGUAGCAGUGAAAUGCGUAGAUAUCGAGAGGAACACUCGUGGCGAAGGCGGGUUCCUGGACAUUAACUGACGCUGAGGCACGAAGGCCAGGGGAGCGAAAGGGAUUAGAUACCCCUGUAGUCCUGGCAGUAAACGGUGCACGCUUGGUGUGCGGGGAAUCGACCCCCUGCGUGCCGGAGCUAACGCGUUAAGCGUGCCGCCUGGGGAGUACGGUCGCAAGAUUAAAACUCAAAGAAAUUGACGGGGACCCGCACAAGCGGUGGAGUAUGUGGCUUAAUUCGAUGCAACGCGAAGAACCUUACCUGGGCUUGACAUGUAAUGAACAACAUGUGAAAGCAUGCGACUCUUCGGAGGCGUUACACAGGUGCUGCAUGGCCGUCGUCAGCUCGUGUCGUGAGAUGUUUGGUUAAGUCCAGCAACGAGCGCAACCCCUGUUGCCAGUUACCAGCACGUCAAGGUGGGGACUCUGGCGAGACUGCCCAGAUCAACUGGGAGGAAGGUGGGGACGACGUCAGGUCAGUAUGGCCCUUAUGCCCAGGGCUGCACACGUACUACAAUGCCCAGUACAGAGGGGGCCGAAGCCGCGAGGCGGAGGAAAUCCUGAAAACUGGGCCCAGUUCGGACUGUAGGCUGCAACCCGCCUACACGAAGCCGGAAUCGCUAGUAAUGGCGCAUCAGCUACGGCGCCGUGAAUACGUUCCCGGGUCUUGUACACACCGCCCGUCACAUCAUGGAAGCCGGUCGCACCCGAAGUAUCUGAAGCCAACCGCAAGGAGGCAGGGUCCUAAGGUGAGACUGGUAACUGGGAUGAAGUCGUAACAAGGUAGCCGUAGGGGAACCUGCGGCUGGAUCACCUCCUUUCUAUGGA
rnacentral:rRNA from 70 species